rnacentral:rRNA from 1 species
UAUUGGACAAUGGGUGGAACCCUGAUCCAGCGACGCCGCGUGAGUGAAGAAGUAUCUCGGUAUGUAAAGCUCUAUCAGCAGGGAAGAAAGAAAUGACGGUACCUGACUAAGAAGCCCCGGCGAACUACUUGCCAGCAGCCGCGGUAAUACGUAGGGGGCAAGCGUUAUCCGGAAUCACUGGGUGUAAAGGGAGCGUAGACGGCUGAGCAAGCCUGAAGUGAAAGGCGGGGGCCCAACCCCUGGACUGCUUUGGGAACUGUACGGCUGGAGUGCAGGAGAGGUAAGUGGAAUUCCUAGUGUAGCGGUGAAAUGCGUAGAUAUUAGGAGGAACACCAGUGGCGAAGGCGGCUUACUGGACUGUAACUGACGUUGAGGCUCGAAAGCGUGGGGAGCA